AUUUUUGUUUUUAUUUUGUGCAAUCUUGGUGAACUUUUAUUAUUCAAAAAAAAAGAUUAAUAAAAGUGCUGAUAGAAGAUUUUUAUAUAUCAGAAACACUUGACAGUUUUUAUAAUUUAAUUUCUGCAUUAUAUGCUAUAUGUUGUUCUUAAAUUUGUAACCAUUAUGUGCAGGGCUGGCUCUCUGGAGUUCAGUUGAGAUGAAGUACUGGUCUGUGUAACACUGCAUUGUCUCACUAGAAGUAUUUAUCAAAAUGCAAUUGGUCACAGCUACACAAUGUAUAAUUUUGAAAACAGUUUGAUCAAUGUGAUGUCCCUAGUUACAAUGCUCUGUUGCAGUGGUUGUCAAAAUGGCAUCAAGAACGAAGUAUUAAAGGACAAUAAGUCAUCUAGAUGUUAUUGUUUAAUAUGUAUACCAGAGAAUAUUAUUCAUGUAAGAGAUACUGGUAUAUGGAAUCUACAGAGAUCCGACGGCAAAUUCUUGCACUUCAUCUAUUGCAGGGGUGUCAAACUGGUAACCCUUGAUGUGAUUUUUUGUGGCCCCCAACACUCUUAACUAAAAUG
rnacentral:lncRNA from 1 species